rnacentral:rRNA from 1 species
GACGAACGCUGGCGGCGGGCUUAACACAUGCAAGUCGAACGGAAAGGCCCUGCUUUUGUGCGGUGCUCGAGUGGCGAACGGGUGAGUAACACGUGAGUAACCUGCCCUUGACUUUGGGAUAACUUCAGGAAACUGGGGCUAAUACCGGAUAGGAGCUCCUGCUGCAUGGUGGGGGUUGGAAAGUUUCGGCGGUUGGGGAUGGACUCGCGGCUGAUCAGCUUGUUGGUGGGGUAGUGGCUUACCAAGGCUUUGACGGGUAGCCGGCCUGAGAGGGUGAGCGGCAACAUUGGGACUGAGAUAGGGCCCAGACUCAUACGGGAGCGAGAAGUGGGGAAUAGUGCACAUAGGGAGGAAGCCUGAUGCAGCAAUGCCGCGGGCGGGAUGACGGCCUUCGGGUUGUAAUCCGCUUUCGCCUGUGACGAAGCGUGAGAGACGGUAAUGGGUAAAGAAGACCCGGCUAACUACGUG